rnacentral:snRNA from 1 species
AAGUGCUUACAGCUCUUUUUGAAUUUGUCUAGUAAGUUUUCCCGUCCUAACUGGAAAGCUCCC